UACGUAGGUGACAAGCGUUGUCCGGAUUUACUGGGCGUAAAGAGCGCGCAGGCGGUCGUUCAAGUCGAGUGUGAAAGCCCCCGGCUCAACUGGGGAGGGUCACUCGAUACUGAUCGACUCGAAGGCAGGAGAGGGUAGUGGAAUUCCCGGUGUAGUGGUGAAAUGCGUAGAUAUCGGGAGGAACACCAGUGGCGAAGGCGACUACCUGGCCUGUUCCUGACGCUGAGGCGCGAAGGCCAGGGGAGCAAACGGG
rnacentral:rRNA from 1 species